GACUCCGGAGAAGGGGCCUGAGAAAUGGCCACUACGUCUAAGGAUGGCAGCAGGCGCGCAAAUUACCCACUCUCAGAACGAGGAGGUAGUGACGAGAAAUAACAAGACCGUUCACUUCAGAGGCCGGUCAUUGGAAUGGGUACAAUUUAAACCCUUUAACGAGUAUCUAUGAGAGGGCAAGUCUGGUGCCAGCAGCCGCGGUAAUUCCAGCUCUCAAAAUGCAUAGAAUCAUUGCUGCGGUUAAAAAGCUCGUAGUUGGAUCUGUGCUGGCGGGUCGGUCCACCUUCGGGUGCGCACUGAUUUCGCCGGUUUUCCUGCUGUAUUUGGCCCUGUGCCUUUCAACGGGUGCAGUGUCCAGUGCAGCAAGUUUACCUUGAACAAAUCAGAGUGCUUCAAACAGGCGUUUCGCUUGAAUGUUCGUGCAUGGAAUAAUAGAAGAGGAUUUCGGUUCUAUUUUAUUGGUUUUAUAGACUGAGAUAAUGGUUAACAGAGACUAACGGGGGCAUUAGUAUUGCUACGUGAGAGGUGAAAUUCUUGGACCGUAGCAAGACUGACUACAGCGAAAGCAUUUGCCAAGAAAGUCUUCAUUAAUCAAGAACGAAAGUCAGAGGUUCGAAGGCGAUCAGAUACCGCCCUAGUUCUGACCGUAAACGAUGCCAACUAGUGAUCCGCCGGUGGAACAUUCGCCCUGGUGGGGAACUUCCCGGAAACGAAAGUCUUCCGGUUCCGGGGGAAGUAUGGUUGCAAAGCUGAAACUUAAAGGAAUUGACGGAAGGGCACCACCAGGAGUGGAGCCUGCGGCUUAAUUUGACCCAACACGGGAAAACUCACCCGGCCCGGACACCGUAAGGAUUGACAGAUUGAUAGCUCUUUCAUGAUUCGGUGGAUGGUGGUGCAUGGCCGUUCUUAGUUCGUGGAGCGAUUUGUCUGGUUUAUUCCGAUAACGAGCGAGACUCUGGCCUACUAAAUAGUUUACACAUUGCUUCUGUGUGCAUAACUUCUUAGAGGGAUUUUCGGUGUUCAGCCGCAAGAAAUUGAGCAAUAACAGGUCUGUGAUGCCCUUAGAUGUCCGGGGCUGCACGCGCGCUACACUGGCAAAAUCAGCGUGCUUGUCCUUCCCCGAAAGGGGUUGGUAAACUCGUGAAAAUUUGCCGUGAUUGGGAUCGGAAAUUGCAAUUAUUUUCCGUGAACGAGGAAUUCCAAGUAAGUGCGAGUCAUCAACUCGCGUUGAUUACGUCCCUGCCCUUUGUACACACCGCCCGUCGCUGCCCGGGACUGAGCCGUUUCGAGAAACUUGGAGACCGCUGAUCUGGUAACUUCGAUUGCCAUUUUGGUGGGAACCAAUUUAAUCGCAGUGGCUUGAACCGGGCAAAAGUCGUAACAAGGUA
rnacentral:rRNA from 1 species